ACAGGUAAAGCUGAGCACCCUGGAGAGACUGCCGGUGACAAACCGGAGGAAGGUGGGGAUGACGUCAAGUCCUCAUGGCCUUUAUGCCCCGGGCUACACACGUGCUACAAUGGCUGGUACAAAGGGUCGCAAAGCCGCAAGGUGGAGCUAAUCCCAAAAAGCCAGUCCCAA
rnacentral:rRNA from 1 species